AUUGAACGCUGGCGGCAGGCCUAACACAUGCAAGUCGAACGAGUGGCGGACGGGUGAGUAAUGUCUGGGAACCUGCCUGAUGGAGGGGGAUAACUACUGGAACAGGUAGCUAAUACCGCAUACCAUCGGAUGUGCCCACAUGGGAUUAGCUAGUAGGUGGGGUAACGGCUCACCUAGGCGACGAUCCCUAGCUGGUCUGAGAGGAUGACCAGCAAAACGGGAACUGAGACACGGUACAGACUCUUACGGGAGGCAGAAGGGGGGAAUAUUGCACAAUGGGCGAAAGCCUGAUGCAGCCAUGCCGGGUGUAUGAAGAAGGACUUCGGGUGGUAAAGUACGUUCAGCGGGGAGGCGUUACCCGAAGAAGAAGCACCGGCGAACUCCGUGCCAGCAGCCGCGGUAAUUC
rnacentral:rRNA from 1 species